CCUCAACCCAACACUAAACUAUUCAGGAGUUAAAAUGCUGUUGUAAUCCUGUUGCUGCUUUCUCAUGAGAGAAACAAUCAGCUUUGUCAGAUACAGCCAAAUCAAGUCUCCAGGUCUCUUAAAAUAGCGUAACAAAAUAAGAAAAGAAAAACAGAAGAAAAAGAAAGAAAAAUAAGAAGAGCAGAAGAAUGAGGAUUAUGCUUCCAUGAAAAGGUCUGGCCAUCUGAACUUCCAUGUAAGUGCUUCCUUCAAGAGGAAAAUCCAUGUCAUUUCAUUUGGACGAAUUUGUGCAGAAAUCAAUGAGACUCUCACAUGGAUGCUCUGCCCCAGUCAACUAAUUGCUAGUCUCAUUUUCUGCAUUUUGAUUAGACCAGAAGUGCUUUAUUUUCAUUUUUUGCAAAACAGAACUGUACAUGUAAUUCAUGGUAAUCUACUCAAGAUCAGUAGAAUGUGAUCGGUAUUCUUGCAAGUCUUUAAUGGUUUCUCAUCAUUAUGACAAGAAAGUAAAGCUCAAUAUUGUUGUACUAGUCUAUAUGGUGACUAUAAGA